UGGGGAAUAUUGCACAAUGGGCGCAAGCCUGAUGCAGCCAUGCCGCGUGUGUGAAGAAGGCCUUCGGGUUGUAAAGCACUUUCAGCGAGGAGGAAGGUGGUGGACUUAAUACGUUCAUCAAUUGACGUUACUCGCAGAAGAAGCACCGGCUAACUCCGUGCCAGCAGCCGCGGUAAUACGGAGGGUGCAAGCGUUAAUCGGAAUUACUGGGCGUAAAGCGCACGCAGGCGGUUUGUUAAGUCAGAUGUGAAAUCCCCGGGCUCAACCUGGGAACUGCAUUUGAAACUGGCAAGCUAGAGUCUCGUAGAGGGGGGCUAGAAUUCCAGGUGUAGCGGUGAAAUGCGUAGAGAUCUGGAGGAAUACCGGUGGCGAAGGCGGCCCCCCUGGACGAAGACUGACGCUCAGGUGCGAAAGCGUGGGGCAGCAAACAGGAUUAGAUACCCUGGUAGUCCACGCUGUAAACGAUGUCGAUUUGGAGGUUGUGCCCUUGAGGCGUGGCUUCCGGAGCUAACGCGUUAAAUCGACCGCCUGGGGAGUACGG
rnacentral:rRNA from 1 species